CGAGAUGAGGAAAUAUUUGAUUCUGGUUUAGAGUGAAUGCUACAUUUAAGUUUUGAACUUUACACAUUCAAGUGAAUAGGAGUAAUAUAAUUUGGAUCAAGUAUUAACUUGUUUUAUUAUUUUUAUCGCGAACGGGUACAGAGUAUAUGUGAAUUUUUUAUCUAUUAUAUAUAUAGAAUUUGAAAUGAUUCUUGUGGAAAUGUAAUAAGUUAAUAAAUGGAAUUUGAAUAUUACUAACUUAAUGAAGUGUAAUAGAGAAAUACAUAGAGUAUUAGAUAGUUGGUGUGAUUAAAAGCAUACCAAGUCAGACAUGCUUUGCUGUGAUGAAAAGAACAACAGCUACAAUGAAACUGAGACACGGUUCAUACUUGGAAUCAAGGCAGAAGUGUGGAAUAGUAGGCAAUGUACGAGAAGUAUGACCUUCUUACAAAACAAAAUAAAUGAAGGAUGGCGGAUACGCUGUAAAAUUUAUGAUCUAGGUAGUUAAUAAUGAUAUACUAUGAUAUCUAGGAUAAGCACUAGCAAAUACUCGUGCCAGCCGCUGCGGUAAUACGGGAAGUGCGAGUGUCAUUCUGCUUGAUUAGGCGUAAAACAUGUGUAGAUGGUUAUAAAAUAUAGAAAUAAAAAAAACAAUCUAAAAUUGUAUAACUAGAAUUAUGUAGAUAUUAUUGGAAUUUUUUGCAUUUUAAUUGAAAAAUAAUAAACAAAAAGGAACAUUAAUGGCGAUAGGCAAAUAAUAAUAUAUAAUUGACAUUGAGACAUGAAGGCAUAGGAAUCGACGAAGAUUAGAUACCUUUUUAGUCUAUGCUGUCAACUAUGGGUAUUAUAUGUUUUUUUAUAAAAGACAUAUCAGUAAACGCGUAAAUACCCUGCCUUGGAAGUAUGUUCGCAAGAAUCAACCUAAAAGAAAUUGAUGGAGAUUAACUAUAAACGGUGGAGUAUGUGAUUUAAUUUGAUAAACCGCAAGGAAUCUUACCAAUAAUUGAAAUUAUAUAUAAUAAAAUUUAAAGAAAUAAAAAUUUAAAUUUGUCUUUUUUAUUAUUAUAAAAAAGAAAAAAUAAUAUUUAUAUAAAAAGAAAUAAAUAUUUGAUAUAUUAUAUAACAGGUGUUGCAUGGUUAUCGUAAGUUUGAGAAGUGAUUCGUUAAUAAUAACAGUAUCGAACUAAUUCUUGCUUUUUAGUUGAAUUUUGAAUUUUAAAUAUAUAUAAAAAUAUAUUAUAUUAUAAUUUUUUUAUAAUAAAAAUAUAUAACAGUGUUAUAUAUUUGUAAAAUAAUAUGUUUUCAAUUUAAAAUUUUUAUAUGUUAUUUCUAAAAAGAUGUUUUUAUCUCAUAUUUUAUUUUAAAAUAUAUUUAAAAUAAGUCAUUAUGAUAAAAACAAUAUAGAGGUGACGUUAAAUCAUUAUGACCCUUAUAUAUUGGGCUAUCCAUGUACUACAAAGAUAAUUACAAUAAUAUAAAAAUAUGUAAGUAUUUUUUAAAGAUUUAAAAAUUAUCAUGGUUCAAAUUAUUAUCUGCAACUUGAUAAUAUGAAGGUGGAAUCGUUAGUAAUCGUAUAUUAGUUUGGUACGGUGAAUUUAUACUUUAAUCUUAUACAAACAGCCCGUCACCUGUCAGGAAAUAGUUGCUUUGUUUAAAUUUACUCCUUCUGAUUUAUUUUAUAUAAUAAAAUUUAUAAUAAGCUUGUAGGAAUAAUGAAUAAGUGAUUAUUGACUGAGAGUAAGUCGUAACAUGGUCAUUGUAAGGGAACUUGCAGUGGGAUCAAUAUAAAA
rnacentral:rRNA from 1 species